rnacentral:rRNA from 1 species
CCUACGGGAGGCAGCAGUGAGGAAUAUUGGUCAAUGGACGAGAGUCUGAACCAGCCAAGUAGCGUGAAGGAUGACUGCCCUAUGGGUUGUAAACUUCUUUUAUAUGGGAAUAAAAUGUUCCACGUGUGGGAUUUUGUAUGUACCAUAUGAAUAAGGAUCGGCUAACUCCGUGCCAGCAGCCGCGGUAAUACGGAGGAUCCGAGCGUUAUCCGGAUUUAUUGGGUUUAAAGGGGGCGUAGGUGGAUUGUUAAGUCAGUUGUGAAAGUUUGGGGCUCAACCGUAAAAUUGCAGUUGAAACUGGCAGUCUUGAGUACAGUAGAGGUAGGCGGAAUUCGUGGUGUAGCGGUGAAAUGCUUAGAUAUCACGAAGAACUCCGAUUGCGAAGGCAGUUCACUGGACUGCAACUGACACUGAGGCUCGAAAGUGUGGGUAUCAAACAGGAUUAGAUACCCUAGUAGUC